rnacentral:lncRNA from 1 species
CUAUAAAUUUUGAAUAAUUCUAGAUCACUCUACACUCUCGAUAUCAAAAGAAAAGAAUGAUUAAAGAGGAAUGCAUCUUUUGAGGGGGAGCUUUAGAUAUUCUAAAGAUACUUUAAUUUGAUGCAUACCUUGAAUUUUAUGGAUUGAUUUUGAUGAACCUCCUUAUAUUGCAAGACAUGCUUUAAUUACCUUGAGAUGAGUUCUAUAAAGGUUGUCUUAUCUCAAACCUUGAGUCUUAUGAAAAUAAGCUGAAACUUAUAGAAAAUAUAUUUUUGAGAUUGACAAUUUUAUUGAACAUUAUCUUCAAACUCUAAACUGUUAAAUGGAAUAAUCAAUUGAGGGGGAGAAAGAAAAUUUCAGAAGGAGAGGUAUUAUGGAACUUAAUCGCAUAAAUCUAUAACUAAAGGAGAGAGACAGAAUACUAAAUGAAAAGUGAUUCUAAUACUCUCCAAUAUUUAUCAUCUGAAAUUUAAAUCUGAAAAUCUUUAUGAUACACCUUGAGGCAUGUUACUUGGUUAGUAUGUCUUAUGCAUCAAUCAUGAACCAAAUUGCAAUUCAAAUAGUUGAUCUUAAGAGCCUCUAAUUUAAUGAAAAAGGGGGAGAAUAACGUGUUGAAUUUGCUUGAGUAUCUUUUAGAAAAUCUAUUUUGAAAUUCACUAAUGAGUCCUAAUUGUCUUGCUCUUUAGAACUUAAAUUGUGUGCCAAUUCAUAUUUUUUUUAUGUAUCAAAUUGUGCUUAUUUUCUAAAAGAACAAAAGAAAGUCUUUAAAAGAGCUCUGAGAUGAAUCAUAAAUUGCAUGAAUUCAUAUUUUGGUAUUUGUGCCCCAAUGCUCUUAUUAUCAUAAAAGAACCUUGAAGUCAUUAAGAAUUAAUGAUCCAACAUGAUGAUAUGUCUUUCAAAUAUAUAAGUUUUGAUCUUUUACUCUGAAAAUCAAUUAAAUUG